rnacentral:rRNA from 1 species
ACGGGGUGCAGCCAGGCCGCGAAAAACUUCCCGCAAUGCGCGUAAAGNCGUGAACGGGGGGGACCCCAAGUGCCGUUGGUCUUUUGAUCGACGGCUUUUAGGAAGUCUAUGAAGCUUCCAGAAUAAGGGCUGGGUAAGACUGGUGCCAGCCGCCGCGGUAACACCAGCAGCCCAAGUGGUGGCCACGAUUAUUGGGCCUAAAGCGCUCGUAGCCGGGUCAGCAAGUCCCUUGUGAAAUCGGGCCGCCUAACGGUUCGGCGUGCAAGGGAUACUGUUGGUCUUGAGGCCGGGAGAGGUCGGAGGUACUCCUGGGGUAGCGGUGAAAUGCUCUAAUCCUGGGGGGACCACCAGUGGCGAAGGCGUCCGACCAGAACGGACCUGACGGUGAGGGGCGAAGGCUAGGGGAGCGAACGGGAUUAGAUACCCCGGUAGUCCUAGCUGUAAAGGAUGCGGGCCAGGUGUCUAGCGCUCCUUGAGGGCGCUAGGUGCCGGAGGGAAGCCGUUAAGCCCGCCGCCUGGGAAGUACGGCCGCAAGGUUGAAACUUAAAGGAAUUGGCGGGGGAGCAC